UCUGAGGCUCCCAAGGGUGUGAAAUC
rnacentral:piRNA from 1 species